rnacentral:rRNA from 1 species
CACUACUUCUGGAAUGGGUAAUGACUUAAACCUAUAUGGCCCCUGGAUUGGACUGCGGCCGAUCAGGCUGUUGGUGAGGUAAUGGCCCACCAAACCUGUAACCGGUACGGGCUCUGAGAGGAGGAGCCCGGAGAUGGGCACUGAGACAAGGGCCCAGGCCCUAUGGGGCGCAGCAGGCGCGAAACCUCUGCAAUAGGCGAAAGCCUGACAGGGUUACUCUGAGUGAUUUCCGUUAAGGAGAUCUUUUGGCACCUCUAAAAAUGGUGCAGAAUAAGGGGUGGGCAAGUCUGGUGUCAGCCGCCGCGGUAAUACCAGCACCCCGAGUGGUCGGGACGUUUAUUGGGCCUAAAGCAUCCGUAGCCGGUUCUACAAGUCUUCCGUUAAAUCCACCUGCUUAACAGAUGGGCUGCGGAAGAUACUAUGGAGCUAGGAGGCGGGAGAGGCAAGCGGUACUCGAUGGGUAGGGGUAAAAUCCGUUGAUCCAUUGAAGACCACCAGUGGCGAAGGCGGCUUGCCAGAACGCGCUCGACGGUGAGGGAUGAAAGCUGGGGGAGCAAACCGGAUUAGAUACCCGGGUAGUCCCAGCUGUAAACGAUGCAGACUCGGUGAUGAAUUGGCUUCAUGCCAAUUCAGUGCCGCAGGGAAGCCGUUAAGUUUGCCGCCUGGGGAGUACGGUCGCAAGACUGAAACUUAA